rnacentral:rRNA from 1 species
UACGAAGGGUGCAAGCGUUACUCGGAAUUACUGGGCGUAAAGCGUGCGUAGGUGGUUUUUUAAGUCCGUUAUGAAAGCCCUGGGCUCAACCUGGGAAUUGCAGUGGAUACUGGCGAGCUAGAGUGCGGUAGAGGAUGGUGGAAUUCCCGGUGUAGCGGUGAAAUGCGUAGAGAUCGGGAGGAACACCCGUGGCGAAGGCGGCCAUCUGGACCAGCACUGACGCUGAGGCACGAAAGCGUGGGGAGCAAACGGG